CAGCCGCCGCGGUAACACGUAGGGUGCGAGCGUUAAUCGGAAUUACAGGGCGUAAAGCGUGCGCAGGCGGUUAUAUAAGACAGAUGUGAAAUCCCCGGGCUCAACCUGGGACCUGCAUUUGUGACUGUAUAGCUAGAGUACGGUAGAGGGGGAUGGAAUUCCGCGUGUAGCAGUGAAAUGCGUAGAUAUGCGGAGGAACACCGAUGGCGAAGGCAAUCCCCUGGACCUGUACUGACGCUCAUGCACGAAAGCGUGGGGAGCAAACAGGAUUAGAUACCCGCGUAGUCCCUGUCUCUUAUAC
rnacentral:rRNA from 1 species